rnacentral:rRNA from 1 species
ACGGAGGGUGCGAGCGUUGUCCGGAAUCACUGGGCGUAAAGGGCGCGUAGGCGGUCUGCUAAGCGUGUGGUGAAAGCUCGGGGCUCAACCCCGAGUCUGCCAUGCGAACUGGUGGACUAGAGCACUGUAGAGGCAGGUGGAAUUCCGGGUGUAGCGGUGGAAUGCGUAGAGAUCCGGAAGAACACCAGUGGCGAAGGCGGCCUGCUGGGCAGUAGCUGACGCUGAGGCGCGAUAGCGUGGGGAGCAAACAG